GACGAACGCUGGCGGCGUGCCUAAUACAUGCAAGUAGAACGCUGAAGGAGGAGCUUGCUUCUCUGGAUGAGUUGCGAACGGGUGAGUAACGCGUAGGUAACCUGCCUGGUAGCGGGGGAUAACUAUUGGAAACGAUAGCUAAUACCGCAUAAGAGUAGAUGCUGCAUGACAUUUGCUUAAAAGGUGCAAUUGCAUCACUACCAGAUGGACCUGCGUUGUAUUAGCUAGUUGGUGGGGUAACGGCUUACCAAGGCGACGAUACAUAGCCGACCUGAGAGGGGGAUCGGCCACACUGGGACUGAGACACGGCCCAGACUCCUACGGGAGGCAGCAGUAGGGAAUCUUCGGCAAUGGACGGAAGUCUGACCGAGCAACGCCGCGUGAGUGAAGAAGGUUUUCGGAUCGUAAAGCUCUGUUGUAAGAGAAGAACGAGUGUGAGAGUGGAAAGUUCACACUGUGACGGUAUCUUACCAGAAAGGGACGGCUAACUACGUG
rnacentral:rRNA from 1 species